rnacentral:rRNA from 1 species
GAUCAUGGCUCAGGAUGAACGCUGGCGGCGUGCCUAACACAUGCAAGUCGAACGAGGUAUUUUGAUUGAAGUUUUCGGAUGGAUUUCAAGAUACCGAGUGGCGGACGGGUGAGUAACGCGUGGGUAACCUGCCUCAUACAGGGGGGAUAACGGUUAGAAAUGACUGCUAAUACCGCAUAAGCGCACAGUACCGCAUGGUACGGUGUGAAAACUACCGGUGGUAUGAGAUGGACCCGCGUCUGAUUAG